rnacentral:rRNA from 1 species
UACGUAGGGCGCAAGCGUUGUCCGGAAUUAUUGGGCGUAAAGAGCUCGUAGGCGGUUUGUCGCGUCUGCUGUGAAAACUCGAGGCUCAACCUCGGGCUUGCAGUGGGUACGGGCAGACUAGAGUGCGGUAGGGGAGACUGGAAUUCCUGGUGUAGCGGUGGAAUGCGCAGAUAUCAGGAGGAACACCGAAGGCGAAGGCAGGUCUCUGGGCCGCAACUGACGCUGAGGAGCGAAAGCAUGGGGAGCGAACAGG